CUUGUUUUUCCUUUUUCCUUUUGUUUCUUUGAAAUAUGUAAUGAUUUAGCCACUACAAUAUUCUGAGAUCUUUCAGAUUUUGUUAUUAAUUACAUUAUCUUAAUUUGAAAGGUUUAAAUUGUUUUAUUUAAAUACUUGUUUUUAGGGGCUGACAGUUCAAAGACUUCCUUGAAGUACAUGUCUCUUUGUCAACUUUUCAAAGGUGAAACAUUGGUAAAAAUCUAUUUCUUGUCUUGAACCAGCAUAUUGAGUUUUUCUGGGUAGAUAGUUUUGGGCUCAUUUGUCUAUCCUACUUAAUUUUUUGACAUAGGGACAUGAGUUUUUGCCUUUGUGGAAAAGUUACAUCUAUUAAUUUUGCUUUUUCUGUGCUGAAAUUUCUAGUGAUUUCUUAGUGAUUCAUUGAGACUUAGGACAAUUUGCAUGAUCAGGAUCCAUGAUAUGGGAUUAUGGGUAGAAAUGACAAGAUAAUUUAUUUUUUAUGCCUUCGAAAUUCUUUGUUGGAAGUACCAAUCAAGUGGGAUACCAUCUUGCUUAAGUAUGGAGGAGAAGAGAUGAAGACACCCAGGCUAUCCUAACUUGGCCAGAAAUUUGAAGGCAAAUGAGUGUCAGAACAGAUCAGGUUAUAUAUAACCUGUGAGCUUCAAAAUUUGGAAGAGCCUCCCGAGAUGCAGCAACUCCUGAAGUCCAAAGCAGUGAAGCUGGUCUGGGAGGCAGCCUUUACCCUCACCAAUUUAAGACUCAAGGGGCUUCCAAGGACCAUAGCCUCUUGAUGAUAACUCUGAAAUCCCUUUCACGAUUGAGUCCUCAGCAACAGCAUACUUUCAACUCAACAGUUUCAAGUCUGAUAAAUCCUUUUAAAUGCAGGUAUGAUAAUAUUAGGAAGGAUCAAAAUUCUUAUUAAUAUUAUUUAAAUGAAAUUACAAGUAUAUACAUUCCAGCUAAACUGGACUAUUUUCUACCCCAGGAGGGAGGUCCUAAUGCACCAAAGCAAGUCAAAUUCAGCAUAGGUUCAAGGUCUAAAAGAAAUCAGAUGGUAGACAAAUGUCCUCAUUCUUCUUCAGGCAACCUAUAUUCCUGACUGAUUCAUUGACUCAGUUAAAUGUGUAGAAAUCUAAGAGAUAGAGGCUCGGGCUUUGGACUUGUCAUCAAAAUUGGUUACUGGGAUUUGUUCCUCAAGCUCUAAGAUAUCAUUGCUUUACAAAGAAACGGAUAGAAUUUUUCCUUUCUUAUUUCAUUUUCUCAAUUAGAUACAAAAUGUUUUAAUAUUAGCUUUUUUAAAACUUAGGGUUCCAAAUUCUCUCUCUCCCUUUCUCCUCUUAGAACCCUUGAGAAAGUGUCUAUAGAUCUCUGAGUUUUUAAAUUCAAAUUUUCUUUUUUUAUUACAAACCUAAUAACAAAUAAGCACUAAACAUUUCAAUGUGCAAAGAAACAAAAAAGGGAUUAGAUAUUAAAUAGUGAACUUUUGUGGAGUUAAAAAAAGAAUAUUGAAUUUAACAAGCUAGUGACAAAAUUGUCAUUUGUUUGUGUGUCCUGAAUUUCUUUUUUGUUUGUUUUUCUCCUUUGUACUCUGAAUAUUUUAUCAAUAUUUUUCCUUUCUUUGCUUUUUUUUUUAAAUAUCCGCACUACCCAUUAACUCUCCCACUGACAGAAGUCCUCUUUUGUAUCAAAUAAGUAGGGUCAAGCAAAACAUUUCAAUUCAUUGGCCUUGUGGGAAAAUGUAUGUCUCACCCUGCCCCUGCAGUC
ensembl:lncRNA